rnacentral:rRNA from 1 species
GACGAACGCUGGCGGCGUGCUUAACACAUGCAAGUCGAGCGGUAAGGCCCUUUCGGGGGUACACGAGCGGCGAACGGGUGAGUAACACGUGGGUGACCUGCCCUCAGCUCUGGGAUAAGCCUGGGAAACCGGGUCUAAUACUGGAUAUGACUCCAUGACGCAUGUUGUGGGGUGGAAAGCCUUGUGCGGCUGAGGAUGGGCCCGCGGCCUAUCAGCUUGUUGGUGGGGUGAGGCCUACCAAGGCGACGACGGGUAGCCGGCCUGAGAGGGCGACCGGCCACACUGGGACUGAGACACGGCCCAGACUCCUACGGGAGGCAGCAGUGGGAAUCUUGCGCAAUGGGCGAAAGCCUGACGCAGCGACGCCGCGUGAGGGAUGACGGCCUGG